UGCAAUCCGCGGAAGCAAAGGAGAAGACACGAGGGCGGCAGGAAGGAAAGGGAGGAGGAGGGAAGAGAGGAAGGAGGAAUUGUUGCUUCUGGGGAUCCAGAGCUCUCCAGGAAUGUGCUGACGGUCAUGUCCCACACGGUCGGGGGGAGCGUUGCAUUCUGGGAAACUCUGCGGAGGUGACACCACCUGUUUUAGCGUGCUGCAGAUUGCAAACGGAUGAUAACAUCGCACGUUAUAAAAGGGAUAGACUUUGCUGGAGGCCCGAAUCCACCCUCACACAGCAGCAGUGGAGAUCUAUUUCGGUACGAGCUGCACAAUGUCCACAAGCACCCACACAGGCUCGGUGGGUAAGGUGAUUGCGGCGCAGCAUGUGUUCAUCCCCUUUGAUUACACAUGUCAGCCGGCGAUGACAUGCAGAAACACCGAAUCUGUUUCUAUCUUCAUCCUGACGAGGCAUCUUGUGACAACAUCACAAACCACAAAAAGUCAAUCUGAGACGGCAUGAUACCGAACUGGAACAACUUUUUUUUUUUCUGUUGCACGACAAAAACUGUAACCCAGCUAAUCCUGUAACCACACAGAUUGCUGAACAUGUAGCUAAACCAUUUCUAACCGAGUCAAGCAAAGAGAAAAAACGUUAUAAUUUGCACAAAGUAAUGGAGUAUUCCACUGAACUGUGGGUUUAUUUCCAUGGUGAUACUUUCCACCAUAUUAAUAUCUAUGCAAAUACUUUUAAUUCCCACGAGCGCACAGUUACAGAUCAUUACAUCUGCACAUGUUGUGCAUCGUACGAAGACGAAUCAAGGCCCGGCUGUAUGAGAACUGUACUCUACCUAUAGAAUACGGCACAGUGUAUGGCGGCAGAGUAAAGUAAUAAAAGCCAGGUGAACACAGUGUUCCAGGUCAGAGCUGGAGUCUGCACAGCGUUGGUCCAGGAGCAGCAUGAGUCACCGGAAGAGAGCAGAUUGCUAGCUUGCAGAAUUCAUUAAGACAAAUGUAAGGUAUAUGGAUUUCCUCUGGAAGAAAGAAAAAAAAAGGGAGAAAACUCUGGCAGCUGCAGAACAGCACCCCAGUGAAUCCUCAAGUAGCUUUCCAUACACCUUUGGUAUGACAGCAUUUUGCAAGCCUGCCGAUGAUAAAUGCUGGUCUGAAUGUAAAUAAAUCAGCUUAAAUCAUUCAGCAUGUUGGCCUAUUUUGCACUGUACUCCUAC